rnacentral:sRNA from 18 species
CUAAAUGAAAAUACUAAAUCACACACAUAUCGACACAUUCUUCGGGGUGCCCCUAACCGGGUCGAAGAUAUGGGAUAUGUGGAGGUCUAAC